UACAGAGGGGGCAAGCGUUAUUCGGAAUUAUUGGGCGUAAAGGGCGCGUAGGCGGCCUGGCAAGUGACGGGUGAAAGCCCUCGGCUUAACCGAGGAACUGCCUGUCAGACUGUUAGGCUUGAGACCGGGAGAGGUGAGUGGAAUUCCCAGUGUAGCGGUGAAAUGCGUAGAUAUUGGGAGGAACACCAGUGGCGAAGGCAGCUUGCUGGGCCACUCCUGACACUGAGGUACGAAAGCGUGGGGAGCGAACAGG
rnacentral:rRNA from 1 species